GGCCUGGAAUGCGAGCACAUAGUGGGCCACUUUUGGUAAGCAGAACUGGCGCUGCGGGAUGAACCGAACGCCGGGUUAAGGCGCCCUGUGCCAAUGCUCAUCAGACCCCAGAAAAGGUGUUGGUUCAUACAGACAGCAGGACGGUGGCCAUGGAAGUCGGAACCCGCUAAGGAGUGUGUAACAUCUCACUUGCCGAAUCAACUAGCAUUGAAAAUAGAUGGCGCCGG